rnacentral:rRNA from 1 species
UACGGGGGGGGCAAGCGUUGUUCGGAAUUACUGGGCGUAAAGGGCUCGUAGGCGGCCAACUAAGUCGGACGUGAAAUCCCCAGGCUCAACUUGGGAACUGCAUCCGAUACUGGAUGGCUUGAAUUCGGGAGAGGGAUGCAGAAUUCCAGGUGUAGCGGUGAAAUGCGUAGAUAUCUGGAGGAAUACCGGUGGCGAAGGCGGCAUCCUGGACCGACAUUGACGCUGAACGGCGAAAGCUAGGGGAGCAAACGGG